GGUUAUAUGAGCAUCAGAGAGGAUGUCCACGUCAGCUCUAAAAAUCGACCAAUAGGAGCGCUGCUUUACGCCACAUCACAGACGGAACUGGACUUUUAUUUUUAAUCCGUAAAACACAUAUCAUGAUGGGCUUUAUUCGUUUGUUGUAUGUUUAGGCUGUGCGUUUGUUCAUGUAUCAGGGCCGGAAAGAUAGUGUUCACCUCUAAACCUAAUUCCGCUCAAACAGAAGAUCACGGGUCGUCUCUUUCUCUUGCUGCGACUGUAGACGUCUGAGCUUCCUUUCUCCAUCUGAAACGGCCCGAUUUGUGAUUCAGUGAUUAAUCAUAUUAAUUACAUCACCCACUAUAAGGUCUUCAAUGCGUUGUUCAUCUCCAAGUCGGUGUGAAAUCUGUAUAAAUAUUCCGACAGGUGCUCAUCCGUCGUCGAGGCUAGGCUGCUGCGGUUCUAGGAGAGGAGAGAGAUGAAAAGGCCGGUGAUUGAUUCCCUUAUGGUCGUAAAAGAUGCGCUAGGGUCAUUCUAAAAUCUGGUAAGAUUCACUGUCUUUCUUAUGAUUAUGAGCUAGAGUAGUUUAAAAGAUCGGGUAUUAAGGUUCGAAAUAAGUGUUUGAAUGUAGAGCUCAUAUCUUGAGUAUUGAUUUGUGAUCAUGUGAUCUCUAUUCUACAGUGACCACAUAAACAUGAUUCGUUUCUUUGUCGUACCAACUCAUGUGCUUUGUUCCUUACAUUGAUGGGCUUAGUCAUUGACUUUAAUUAUCUCACCUUGAAUCUUUUCCUCUGCUAUGCCUGAUGGUUUUUUUGGGUUGUUUCACCUUGAGUCUUUUCCUCUUGCAUUGAUUUCCAUGAUGAAGAGUGGGGAGUUCUUGUCCAUGACAACAAGUACGUGAUGAUAUCUCUUUUACUGUUUAUUUUUGCUCAGUCUGGGAGAUGCUAUUUGUGUAUUAUAAAUGCUCUUAUUUGUCAAACUGCUGGCAUGAAAAUUUCCAAGUUAUUAAGCCUCUCUGGUGUUCUUUCCGAACUAUCCUGGAAAUAUAUUCUUUUCAAAAGACAAUCAUUCAGUAAUUAUCUGGUUACUAUACGAACUUUGUCACUACAUUCUAAAAGCUUUGGUAAACAGCAUAGUUUUUAAAUAUAUAUAAGUGAUUAUGCCUUAAGUAACUGUGCAACCUUUCUUAAGAUCUUAGUGGAUUGACUGUACAUGUAUUGCUUUUUUUGUUCGUGUAGGAAAAAUAACACUCCGCCAGACUUGAAAACGGUUUCAGUCAACCAGGUUAAAGUACUUGACUGCUUGUGAUAGACUUAUCAAGUUAAGAAUUAAUCAGUUGGUACAGCCAUUUGAACGUAUUUAACACAAGUAUUGUGUGCAUGUAAUCUUUGUGCAAUCAAUUUGCUUCGUUGGCUGUUAGUAGAACUCAGACAUGCUUCACUCACAGCUACUUGGGAUGUUUAUUGAUCAGAAUUCUCUCUUUACAGGUUAAACACAGGUAUAGAGUUGCACAUUCCCAUCUUUGGCUUCCCACAUGAGAAGAAAUUUGGGAACAUCGUCUGGAAAUCAUAGAAUUCUUUCUUUACCUUCACCUAAAACAAACAGAGAUGAUAUGAGUGUUCAGAAAAAUAUCCAGAUUAAUACAGAGUUAGCCAGAAGAUUAUGAACGCACAUGAGGCAGAAGCAGCUGCAAAACAGGCAGUUUCACAGGUAGAAGCUGCCAUGACAGCGGCUGAAGAAGCUGCAAAGGAAGCAGAUGCAGCAGAAGCUGCUUAAGCUUAUGCCUAAGAAGCUUCAAAGACAUUGAAAGGAAAAAAACAUCUGCAAAGUGAUGGUUUGUAAGUGAGGUGACAUAGAAGAAGAAGCUAAAUGUGUUGCAGGUGACGAGAGAGUGAUGCACAAAAGUAGUGUGUAUGUGUUGAUGAAUUUCGACUUAGAACAUUUUUUGUUGUAAAGAAGAAGCGAAAUGUGUUGCAGGUGACGAGAGAGUGAUGCACAAAAGUAGUGUGUAUGUGUUGAUGACUUUCGACUUAGAACUUUUUUUUGUUGUAAAGCAGUAAUUUUAGAUGCUAAAGCCAUUUUAUUAUUGCUCACAUUUACUUUACGGCCAAAAUAAGUUAUAAAAACUGAAAA